rnacentral:rRNA from 1 species
CACUCCUACGGGAGGCAGCAGUGGGGAAUAUUGCACAAUGGGCGCAAGCCUGAUGCAGCCAUGCCGCGUGUAUGAAGAAGGCCUUCGGGUUGUAAAGUACUUUCAGCGGGGAGGAAGGCGAUAAGGUUAAUAACCUUGUCGAUUGACGUUACCCGCAGAAGAAGCACCGGCUAACUCCGUGCCAGCAGCCGCGGUAAUACGGAGGGUGCAAGCGUUAAUCGGAAUUACUGGGCGUAAAGCGCACGCAGGCGGUCUGUCAAGUCGGAUGUGAAAUCCCCGGGCUCAACCUGGGAACUGCAUUCGAAACUGGCAGGCUAGAGUCUUGUAGAGGGGGGUAGAAUUCCAGGUGUAGCGGUGAAAUGCGUAGAGAUCUGGAGGAAUACCGGUGGCGAAGGCGGCCCCCUGGACAAAGACUGACGCUCAGGUGCGAAAGCGUGGGGAGCAAACAGGAUUAGAAACCCGUGUAGUCCCAUG